rnacentral:lncRNA from 1 species
UGUUCAUUGGCUUAGUAGCUGAGGCAGAAACGGAAACAUUUGAGGAGGGAAGCUACAUACAUGUGCACUUGCGAGGCCACAUAUUCUGGGUCGUCCACCACACUAGCCACCAUCACGUACCCAUCGCCAUCAGCAACGUUGCUCCUGCAGCAACAACAGAUAACCAUUUAUAAAUUAAACGGACCAGCUAUGCGUACAAGGUUAUUUAAGCAUGUAAGUACAAUCCAGGUAUAAAGUGGAUGGCAAUGCGUGGCUAUUGUUGUUGCUACUUUAGCAAACUGAGCUAAUUAAUCUCAUCAACCAAAUACACUUCUCUCAAAAAAGAAAAGAAAAACUUAAAAUAUUGAGUACGGCAGCAACAUCUACUUGUUACUGGAGUUCCAGUUCAAGAUGGCCAGAGGCCACUUGGCACCAUGGAACCUGCACAAUUUCCACCAUAUAUAUGAAAUGAGUUUGAAAGAAAACUAGUGUUGAACUACCCAGCCUCAUAUAUAUAUAUAUAUAUAUAUAUAUACAUGAGCAAAUUUGAUUACACAAGAAGGUAGCUGGAGUGGUGGUCGACGAAAUGAAAAUCGACGGCCACGGCUCAGCGAGGAGAGGAGCUCAACAUUGAAGUUUUGCAAAAUAGGAAUUCAUUAAUUUGAGAGUGGGUUUUAGUAGCUCAAGCUUAGUUAAGUUAAGCACUUAGUACUAAACAACAGCAACACUUGAACCGUAACAUGUCCAGAAAGGAAACAAAACAUGAGACCAGUAUUGAUAGCAAGUCCACGAAGGCCAUCCAAUGGUUUCAGCCACAUCCUAAUAAACCUGCAGCAUUCUUUAGCACCUAAUUAUCAGCAAGAAAUCAAUGGCCAGAUGAGCACCACCACAACAAAUCGGCACUAACACUUGGUCAUCGACGCGAUGCCCAAGCAAGGAACCAACUCGCACACGCAAGAUGAUGAUUGCAUACAUACAAAUCAUGUGCUGGCAGAAAAAAAUCCAAGCAGGAGCUCAUCUUCUCUCUCUGUUUGGUAACUAACAACCUAAAAUAAAAUAAAAACAUGACUUGUUCAUACAGAUCCCUCUAAAAUUCCUUGGGACAAGUGCAUCACAUAUUUGUCAACUUAGCAGCAGGAGUAGUGAGCACAGGAAGAGGGGGAGGGAGAUGGAGGAGCUACCUGCCGCGGUCGCAAUGGAAGCAGAGGAGCAGACCCCUCCUGCCCCUCCCCCACGAGCAGGACAGGGCU